UACGUAGGGUGCGAGCGUUGUCCGGAAUUAUUGGGCGUAAAGGGCUCGUAGGCGGUUUGUCGCGUCGGGAGUGAAAUCCGCUGGCUUAACUGGUGGCUUGCUUUCGAUACGGGCAGACUAGAGGUAUGCAGGGGAGAACGGAAUUCCUGGUGUAGCGGUGAAAUGCGCAGAUAUCGGGAAGAACACCCGUGGCGAAGGCGGCUCUCUGGAACGCAACUGACGCUGAGACGCGAAAGCGUGGGGAGCAAACAGGG
rnacentral:rRNA from 1 species